CGAACCGUGACAAAAUGGCGGCCGCGGGGUGCAGUGCGGUACAGUCCCGCUCCGCCUGCUGGAUGUGCUUUUACCCUCUCGCGAUACAAAGAUAAAAGCGCUGCAAAACAGCGCUACUAAAUACGAGACAGACACAGUUUAAGAAAAAAUUUACUGAUCCAUUAGCACUUCUGCCAGUAUUGCAACAGACAUGAAAGGCAACCACUGUUACAGUUUAGAAAACCAAGUUUUAUACAGUUAGAAUGUUAAACAAAUCUCAAAAAAAGAAAAACAAACAAACAGAAACCAGUGGCUGAGGAACAAGCCUGGAAUUUCAGACGCAGUAGCACCUACAGCACCACCAAAAGCCAAAACACUUCAUCUGUUCUGUAGAAUUUCUCAGUUUAAGUUCUUGAAUUCCUUCCACAAUUGGAUAAUGGCGCUCAGAACUCAAAUCCUUGAGACGGGAAAAGGAUACAAGAGGAAAGGAUGAAACCAACCAGGUUUCUAGGAACCGUGCUUUUAGCUAUUGCUGAGGAAUGUUAAUGCACAAACAGACGGAGUAACGCACAGCUCUACUUCUCAACAGCGUGCCAGCAAACAAGAGUUAAGAAACCAUCUUACACAACAGCUAAGUUUGUCAAAUCAGCAUUUUCCUAUAAGUUAUAAUAAAUUCAUAAAGAAACAGUUUUACACUUCACAUAUUAAUCAGAGUAGGGGAAGAGUUACGUUUAUUGGUUCAGCAUCCAUUUUAUUGUACUUCCUGUUUUAUCCAAGAAUAGACUCCCUCUUCUGAUCAGCACUGACAGAUACAAUAACAGCACAUACACAGCAGUAGAAAAAACACCAGGAAUGAAGUCCAGCUAUUCCUCCCUCUCUUCUAGGAAUAACCAAAACAUUAAAACAAGAAACACUUUGCCUUCUAGUUUUCCAUAAGAAACAGUACAGGAAGCUUAAAAUGCUUGUUGCCUUGAGUCACUUCUCACCAGGAAGAGGCACCAUGUAUCCCUCACUGCAAUACUGAACUCGAGGGAAAGCCUUUCUUCUGUAAAGUUCCACUCUGACUUGUAGGUUUCCAAAGCCCAAUCGAUGUACAGAAAGUUUAAGAAGUAGGGAGGAACAGCACCACAUUUACAUGACUAGACUUCUGUCGGGCUAAGCGGUUCUGUCAGAAGAGUACGCAGCUUCACCAUUUCUGCUCUUUUCUUGAGAAACUUAACAGUGAUCUCACUGCUCAAUAAUUUGCCACAAAAUGUAUGCUGACCAGCUGGGUCACACCACGUGGAGUAGUUUUAGGAAGUCAGUCCCUGUAGAAAAUGGCACUGUGGAUCUGGCAGCAGAAAGAGGAAUGAUGCUCUAAAGUAGGAGGUAGGGGAACUGAUACAGCAAGUCCACUGUUGAGCUGUCUGAGACUCCACAGUUUUAUCUUCCACUGCUCAUGCCUCUGUCUUCAUAAAUGGUAAUUUCAAUAACUCUUAGUCCUCUUUCAAUGGGGUCGGUCAGAAGGAGGCCCUGAGGAGCAUAGAUCUUCUCAUUCUGUUCCUGAAUGAACUUGGCAAUUUUCUUUAGAACCUUCUCAUAAUGUGUUUCCAUGCACAAGAAGAUAGUAUAGGCAGUCAGACAGGCCAGACACCCUUCAAGGUAGGAUUGGCCCCCAAGUUUCUCAGCUUCAGCAUAAAGGUUAUUCAGCGUUCGGACAGUCUCUUCAAACUGCUGCCUAUCAAUCCGGUUCUCCAGCUCGGCCGGGAACUUGCUCUGGAACUGGCAGCGUGUCCCACCACUGUAGUCACGCUGGAUGAACACUUUGCCCGACACGGGCGCUUGCUGCGGCCUCAUCGCACCGCGGCCGCCUCGCUCCGCUCCCGCGGGCGCCGCCGCUCACUUCAGGCUGUCGCAAAGGCGGCCAGUAGGCUCCGGGCCGGGGAAAAGGCGGAAGCGACGUUCCGCG
rnacentral:lncRNA from 1 species